rnacentral:rRNA from 1 species
UACAGAGGUGGCAAGCGUUGUUCGGAAUUACUGGGCGUAAAGGGCGCGUAGGCGGUCUUCUAAGUCUUGUGUGAAAUCCCUCGGCUCAACUGAGGAACUGCACGGGAUACUGGAAGACUUGAGUUCGGGAGAGGGAAGCGGAAUUCCGGGUGUAGCGGUGAAAUGCGUAGAUAUCCGGAGGAACACCGGAGGCGAAAGCGGUGUACUGGGGCUGGUCUGACGCUGAGGCACGAAAGCCAGGGGAGCGAACGGG